rnacentral:rRNA from 1 species
CAUUAAAGAUUCGGGUUUCGGCCCACCCCCUCUUCAGCUGUGCGCUUCGGCUGCACGCUGUUGAAACUCUCACACCUGUGCACACCAUUCGGUUGCGGUGGGUAAAACCGCCGCUUCCGCUACACAUAUUACAACAGUCCAGAAUGUAUAAAACCAUAAUAUAACAACUUUCAACAACGGAUCUCUUGGCUCUCGCAUCGAUGAAGAACGCAGCGAAAUGCGAUAAGUAAUGUGAAUUGCAGAAUUCAGUGAAUCAUCGAAUCUUUGAACGCAUCUUGCGCUCCAUGGUAUUCCGUGGAGCAUGCCUGUUCGAGUGUCACGUCAACCCUCGCCCUCGCGAUGUCAAAGUCGCUUGCGGUGGAUUUGGACCGUGCCGUAGUUGGCUCGUCCUGAAAUGCAUUAGCUUGCGCUUUUAGAGUGCUGGGCACCGGUGUGAUAAUUAUCUGCGCCAACGCCAUUAGCCUCUUCAGCGGCGCUGCUUACAGCCGUCCUGACGGACAACGUAUCAAAGCUUUGGCCUCGAAUCAGGUAGGACUACCCGCUGAACUUAAGCAUAUCAAUAAGCGGAGGAAAAGAAACUAACAAGGAUUCCCCUAGUAACGGCGAGUGAAGAGGGAAGAGCUCAAAUUUGAAAUCUGG